GUCACCCUGUUUGAUAAAAAAAAAUCAAAAACAACAAACCGCGAAUUUAGUUCGGCUUUUCAGGUGGUUUUAUGAGUUUUCUUGUGAUUCGUCGUAUAAUUUAUGUAAAAAACGCUCCGAAAGUGAAGUGCGUCGCUGUUUAAUCCACCCAUUUAAUCAGGCAACGCAAAUAGCAUUCUUCCACCAUGGCAGACUAUACGAUGGACGAGAUCAAAAACAUCAUCCGCUCGAUUGCCAUUUCCGGUGGGGCGCGUGGCCUCUCGGUCAAAAUGUUGGCCGACGAUUUCAAAAAGAUCGAAGGAUUCGACUUGCCGUACCAUCGGCUGGGUUUUCGAUCCCCGGAUGAAUUCCUGCGCAGUUUGACCGAUACCGUGAUGAUAAAUGGAUACGGAACAUCGGCAUUGGUGGAACCAGUUGUGACACAAAACACACGACACGUCCGGGAAUUGGUCAAGAAGAGUAACAGCAAAUCGAACCCACGAAAAUGGGGGAACAAAAGCUAUUCCAGGUCGGCCUAUCGACCACCUGCAGAAUAUAGCUCAGACUAUAGAAAAGGUAAUGGUCAAUCCUACAAUCGGUCAGGAACUAGCAAUGGAUUCUGGAAACCUCCAUCCAGUUACAUUCGUCAGACUAACAGUGAUCACUAUGACGAACAUCGCGAAGAAUCUCGAAAGGUGUACAACAGGGAGUUCGAUUUUGCGGAUACAGCUGCCCAAGAUGAAGACGACUUUGGAAGUUCGGAUGAGGAUAUGCCCAAGUUCGUUCUGACGCAGGAUAAAAAGCUGACCCAGGUGCAAGAUUCCCUACAAACAAUGACCAUCACAGCAUCCCCUCAAAAGUCGUCCAAGGUCCAGUCUAGCGAUGCCAUUCCGGAUGACGCGGUGCUGGCGUUGAUCAAUUGCUUGGAGAUUCCAGAAGGCGCCAUGAAUCUGACUGAUACGAUUAAAACGCAACAAAUUGCUCCUGAUAUCGUUCCGAAGAAGUCGGUGCAAAUUUUCGUAACGGAAGUGCACAAUCCGAAUCGCUUUUGGUACCACAUGGGCGAGAAUGCCAACAAAAUCGAUGAACUGAUGAACGAGAUCGAUGCAUACUAUGGCCACCUGGAGCGGGAAGAAUGGUGUGUCAAGCCGUCCAGUGUGGCCGUCGGUUUGUACUGCGUGGCCAAAUUUCCGGCAUGUGGCAUCGGGGGAAAAUAGUCAGCGAUUUGGCGCACAACAGGGUCAAGGUGUUCUACAUUGACUACGGAACCGUUUCCGAGUCGGAGCUGAAGGACGUCAAGUUCAUGGCCAAGUGCUUCUCCAGUAUGCCGGCGCAGGCCAUGCGGGCGUCGUUGGCGUAUGUGAAGCCAGUCGGCCAUCGGUGGACGCGGGACGCUUGCUGGUCGCUGCUUUCGCUCGUCUACGAGAAGAUCCUGUUCGCUUAUGUGGUGGACAUCAACAAGGAGGAAAACUGUCUGGAUGUGGUUCUGAUCGAUACCACCGGCAAUAAGGACAGCAUCAUCAAUCAACAGCUGUUCAUCAAGGGCCAUGGCAUUUGGGAGGAUGACGUGCCAUACAAGGAGAAGAGCGUAAGUUGAAUACUUUCUUCCGGAUAUUAAUGUGAUAAUUGAGCGGUGAUGCUCGAGGCCGUGCUUAGCGCGGAUCGUCGAACGACUGUGGCCGUUGUUUGUAAGAUUUAAAUGUUUCAUUUUACACACGA